rnacentral:rRNA from 1 species
CUUCAGUGCUGCAGCUAACGCAUUAAGCAUUCCGCCUGGGGAGUACGGCCGCAAGGCUGAAACUCAAAGGAAUUGACGGGGGCCCGCACAAGCGGUGGAGCAUGUGGUUUAAUUCGAAGCUACGCGAAGAACCUUACCAGGUCUCGACAUACUAUGCAAAUCUAAGAGAUUAGACGUUCCCUUCGGGGACAUGGAUACAGGUGGUGCAUGGUUGUCGUCAGCUCGUGUCGUGAGAUGUUGGGUUAAGUCCCGCAACGAGCGCAACCCUUAUUAUCAGUUGCCAGCAUUAAGUUGGGCACUCUGGUGAGACUGCCGGUGACAAACCGGAGGAAGGUGGGGAUGACGUCAAAUCAUCAUGCCCCUUAUGACCUGGGCUACACACGUGCUACAAUGGAUGGUACAACGAGUUGCGAACUCGCGAGAGUAAGCUAAUCUCUUAAAGCCAUUCUCAGUUCGGAUUGUAGGCUGCAACUCGCCUACAUGAAGUCGGAAUCGCUAGUAAUCGCGGAUCAGCAUGCCGCGGUGAAUACGUUCCCGGGCCUUGUACACACCGCCCGUCACACCAUGAGAGUUUGUAACACCCAAAGUCGGUGGGGUAACCUUUAGGAACCAGCCGCCUAAGGUGGGACAGAUGAUUAGGGUGAAGUCGUAACAAGGUAACCA